AAUCAGCCUUUGGGAGCCCAUUUUAUCUUGUAACAAGACUGCAGCUCAUCCCACUGGAAUCCAGGUUACCUUCAGAAACUCAGCUCAUUACCUAGAGAUGUGAAAAGUCUUGAUUGACCUGUCCUGCUUCUACAGCUAAUAGAACUGUCAGCUCUCCUGUCGCUCAGCCAUCACCGGUCCUCAAAUACAAUAAAGGCCUUGAAGGGGAUGAGAUCAACACUGAUUGAUAUUUGCUGAAGAUCACUUUCUUUAUGAGAAGCAUACCUUCCAAUUUCAUCUUACACUUUAGAACAAACAGGACAAUCCUACUUCCUAGAUAUAAUGAAGUCUGACCUCCCUCAAAGACAAGGCCUGCUGCCAAAAUGAAAAUUUAAGGAUUACUGACUGUAUAUUUUUCUUUUUUCUGCUUUUUGGUUUUUUUUUUUUUCCUGUAAGUCACAUGUAUCCAAAGCAGGAACUUGUAUUAAGUGCCUCUGGAGAAGGGUGUGGAGGGGGUGUUGAAGGUCAGCAACUGGAGCAGCUCAUGAUUCAAUCCUUGUAGAAGCAGAUGGCAAGUGCCGGAUCUCCAGUUGGCAACUUCCUGCAGAAAUGGUAAGUUUUCUGGAGAACAGUAAUCAUUUAAUUUCUUCUGGAAAGUCUAACAUUUUCUACUCCAUUAGU
rnacentral:lncRNA from 1 species